UACGUAGGGUGCGAGCGUUGUCCGGAAUUAUUGGGCGUAAAGAGCUUGUAGGCGGUCCGUCGCGUCGGAAGUGAAAACUCAGGGCUUAACCCUGAGCCUGCUUUCGAUACGGGCAGACUUGAGGGAUGUAGGGGAGAACGGAAUUCCUGGUGGAGCGGUGGAAUGCGCAGAUAUCAGGAGGAACACCAGUGGCGAAGGCGGUUCUCUGGACAUUUCCUGACGCUGAGAAGCGAAAGCGUGGGGAGCAAACAGG
rnacentral:rRNA from 1 species